rnacentral:snRNA from 1 species
AUACUCACUUCGGCGGUACAUAUACUAAAAUUGGAACGAUACAGAGAAGAUUAGCAUAGCCCGUGCGCAAGGACGACACGCAAAAUCGUGAAGCGUUCGAUUAAUGA